AAGUCGAAGUCGAAGUGGAGCCAAGUGACGCCUUUAUGUAUUCAGGUCAUAAACAGAUUCAAUUUCUUCUGCGGCCAACUGGCGAUCACAGGCUCAAGUUCAGUUUGUACCCUCUUUACGGGGGCUUUUUGACUCUUCCCAAGCUGCAUUUCAAACUGCCUCGCUUUCAGGUUAGCUGAGAUGAACAUGCGCAGAAAUUGGUUCCGACCAAUGUUUUUAUAAAGCCUCGAGGCCGGGAAUUGGAAUCUGAGAAGAAGCCUGGUUACGAGUACAAAAGAUAGCUAAUGGAACAGUGGAGACUGGAGGCAAACUUUCCAGUUAUAGUCACAAUAGGAUUUUAAGCAGCAAAGUGAUGCAGCGGAGAUUUGAACCGCUGUCAACUGACAGCCACAUGAAGGAAAUUCUUUAGUGGGGGCUUUUGUCCACUGGCUGGUGAAUUGCAGGAUGUUUAAGGCCAAACAACUCUGUGGUUAACAGAUACGCUUAUGUCGUAUAUACGCGCAUGUCGUAUCGAUAUCACGUAGAAUCAGUUGCACUACUUCCUUUGGGUGGAUUAAGAAAUUAAGAGUAGUGCUACUACAUAGAACGACGACUUGCCCGGAGAUGUUUGUUCCGUUUGCGAGUUUCUCUCUCUUGUUGACUUGGAGUAACAUGUUUCCAGUUUUGUUCAUAUUUAACCCUUGAAAUUUCGUAUAGAACGCUUUUUGACAAAGUGUCGUAAAACUGAAAUCAAAGUAAUCCCAACAGCCAAUCAAAAGAAAGAAAAUACUUU